UAAGUCUACACAGUUAUUUUCAGAAUCUGCAAAAUGCAGGAACUAGGCCUGGGCAAAAAUCACAGCUAAUUUCCACACAGAAGAAACCUCAGAAAGAGGAGGAGAUAAGAAGCAAUGUAUCUUCUCAUGAUACAUGUAGGUCUCCACCAGAGAGUUUGCUCUCUCCCCACCCACCCAUCUCAGUAAAGACAUGGAGCACUGGCAGAGGAACCUACUACUGAUUCUAACUUUAUCUUUUGAAUGCGGAUGUGAAGACACUGUCUCCCAGUCAACAGGAGUUCUGACUGCCACUGAGGGAGAGACAGUUAAACUUGACUGUAAAUUUUACACAACUGAUUCAAAUCCCAGUCUAAUCUGGUACAAGAUGGAGGUGAAGGACUUUCCCAGAUACAUGUUAAGACGGGACAAGUACACAGAUGGAGACAAUUCCAAAGCAUUUCAAAAAGAAAGAUUUGACGCUCCACUGAACCUUGAUGAAAGAUCAGUUCCUUUGAGGAUCCAGAGUGUGCAGCUGUCUGACUCUGCUACCUACUACUGUGCUCUGAGGCCCACAGUGCCUACAGGAGACACAGAUCAUGUACAAAAACCUGCUGUGCUGCACAACACAGGACAAGACAAUGACUGAAUAUAAGAGUGCUCAGUCAUAUUAUCACAAUAAUUGACACAAUACGAAAUCAAAGAAACAGCUUACCAAAACUAUAUAAUAUAAUUACAAUUAAUACAGUAUAUUACAUUGUAUUUUUAUCAUCAUAAUUUAAAAUUAAAAGUAAUAUAAUAAUAUAGUCAAUAAAAGUAUUUGAAACAAUUUUUGAACAAUUAUAGAAUUUAUAGAAAUUAUGGAAUUAUAAAACAAUUUCCUGAUAAGAAUGUAUAUCAAUGAUGUAGGCAGUUGCAAAAUUGACCCACCUUAGGGCAACAAAACUGUAAAUCUUGAAAUAUUCACUUUCAAAGAAAAGUUCUCGUGCAGAUAGCAGUUCAAAUCAACAUAU